rfam:Schistosoma margrebowiei strain Zambia genome assembly, scaffold: SMRZ_contig0001250
AUCCAGCUGAUGAGUCCCAAAUAGGAUGAUGUGUGCGUCCCGGAU